AAACUGAUGUUUGAUUCGGAAAAUGAAAAAGAACAGAAGGGGGAAAAAUGGCCGCCACGAUGGAUUUGUAGGAGGCUCCGUCUUCCGCUGCCAGAGUCCUGAUUUCGCCGGAAAAAAAAAUUACGCGGAAAUGGAUCUCCGUAUAGCAGCGAAGAGAAAAGCGGGGAAAGUUUAGCGUUUCCUUCAGAUCUCGCGCCUCCUCAUUUCUAAUCCCUCUUUCACUUCCCCCUCCUGCUUCGCAUAGCUGACAAACAUCUACCCAUCCGCAUUGGAGAAUUGCUUGGAGCUGAAAUUGGAAGGGGAGAUGAUUUAUUCGAUCGCCAUAGCUCUUCUUCAGCUGUCGGUGAUUGGGUUCGUGCUCGAGUUCAUCUUCACUCAGAAAAAUGGUGGCUGAAUCGCUCUUGCUUAUUUGUCCAUGGUUGAGACAGCGCUCGCUCUAGGUGCAACACCAUGACAAGUAACUCUCCAACAUGUAAAAUGUUCUCUUGUAAUCGCAUUAUCGCCAGUUCUCGAUAAUGCAAAGAUUGUUGGCCUGUUUUUUUCACCAAGGAUUAGCAGCUCGAACACAAAGUAUUGAGUGCGGAUUAACCUUUUUCCCCUCCAUCUUCGAUGCGUUUUGUGAUUGAUGUAGGCUAUCAGGCACUGGCAUACUUGUUUGUAUGUUGAUCCUAUGCUUUGAUCACAGCACAUAGUUUAUAGAGGCCUAGUUUAUAGAGGUUGAUGGCUAUGUGUUACAAGGACCAAAGGUUUGAUAGUAUCCUUUUGGAUAAAAAUUUUGUUUUUAAGAAUCUUGAUUGUAUCCUAUGCUUAUGUUUGUACAGGUUGUAACUUUAUUUGCUUGGAGUUUUUUAGUUUACAUGUCU